rnacentral:lncRNA from 1 species
GGGUGGCGGGGGCCGGUGCUCGCGGGCCCGGGACUAGCGCUGCGGGGGGACCGUGGCCCCGAGUGGGGUGGCGGGGAUGGUCGCUGACCCGGAAGAAGCUUGGCUUGCCCGAAGGAGGGGAGGAUUAAUGACAAAGACGGCCCCGCUCUUUCCCAUUCAAUCCCGCUCUGCGAGGCGCGCCUAGUCUGAAAGGAGGAGGUCCCAUUCCUUCCUUCUUUUGGUCGGUUCUGAGUGUCAGCUGUCUACUGGGGAUCUGCUAAGGCUAAGAGGCAAAGAUAGGCAAGUCACUCCCCUGACCUCAAGAAACUCCCAGUCUACAGGCGAAGAUACACCACCCACCGGUAGAGUCGCUGGACCAGAAUAUUAGGUGUUCCAGUCAAAGUCACCCAGAUUUGCCAAAAGACCUGGCACAAAUGUCACUUCCACUAUGAAGUCCCACUGACUUCCAUAUACAAGUUUAGGUCAGCAAGGUGGCUCAGCACCUGUGGUCAGUCAUUCAGAGACCCCAGCCCCCCAACUCCCCAUCACCACCACUUUCAAUCCAUGACCUUAGGUUUCUCUGGCAUCUAGCUGGUGAAUACAGAGAGAGAAAGUGAAGAUGGAACCAGUGUUUUUCACUGUCUUGGCCUGGA